UACGUAGGGUGCAAGCGUUAAUCGGAAUUACUGGGCGUAAAGGGCGCGUAGGCGGACAGCUAAGUCAGAGGUGAAAGCCCAGGGCUCAACCCUGGAAUUGCCUUUGAUACUGGCUAUCUUGAGUAUGGGAGAGGUGUGUGGAACUCCGAGUGUAGAGGUGAAAUUCGUAGAUAUUCGGAAGAACACCAGUGGCGAAGGCGACACACUGGCCCAUUACUGACGCUGAGGCUCGAAAGCGUGGGGAGCAAACAGG
rnacentral:rRNA from 1 species